rnacentral:sRNA from 1 species
AGUGGCUCAUUCACUUCGUUACGUCAGCCCCGCUUAGGUUGUGCUACAUAACACAUCGAAUGACGCACUCAAAGGUGCCUGCCGUCCAACUCCUGAUAAUCGUAACUUCGGUUGCCUAUCAGCCAUCGGGCGAAACGUUGAGUUAGGCACCGCCU